UAUCACGUGCUUGAGCUCCCACAGACUGGGCGGCCAUUUUGUGUCGUGUGGCUAAGCUCCCACCGACUGGGCAGCCAUUUUGUAUCACGUGGUUGAGCUGCCACACCGCUCAUUUUGCCUCAUACAAAGUGAUUGUUUCACCCGCGAGAGCAAACAGGCAGUUGGCAUUGCCUCCUGUGGUUCCACAGUGGAAAGGACUCCCUCUAAAAUCGAAGAAUAAAGUGUGUUCCUUAUUAAGGGGAUUAUUGCUGCCCCUCCCCUUUAACCAGAACCAUGAACCUGCAGACAGGUGGAAACCUUCUUCCUGAGGAAUCUUUCUGUCGUUGACCCGGAGCAAAGCUCUUUAGGAUCUGGCUACGUGUGAAUACAAAAACUAAGAAAUUCAGUGAGAAGAAUAAACCAUUUUUUUUUUUCAAAAGGACAUGUAAUCUGUGACUGGAUGUGUAACUGAUAUGGAAUUAAUUAGUUCAUCAUUUUGUUCAUACUUUUGCAAGAACUGAAAUCCACCCAAUUUAAAUCAAGAGAAUUUCUGUUCUGUGUCUCAUGCUGUUAGUGAGCAACAUUUUCUCCAUUACUGUUUGUAUGUUUUAUGCUUUUGUUAUAAUAGAAUGAAAGCAAGUGUAAGAACUAAAGUGAUCUUGUUCUCGUUAGAGCUGAUCUUCAGCUCCCUGGUGUGAGCAUAGGUGUAGCACUACUAGUUGGCAGGCAUACUGUCAAAAUCGAGUCAGCAGUUCUAUGCAGGUUUUACAGGUCAUUCAUAGGGAAAUCUAAUCCUGUCAGGAGAAAUUGAUUCCUAAAAUUACUUAAAAUCAUAACCUAUGCACAGGCUUCUAGUCUUGGAACACUAGGAAUCCACUUGUGCGGGAAAUAAAUGAAAGAAAUAUAUAUGGCUACGUACAAAGUCUUCUACAGUAUGUCUAUGAGUUAGUUUACGUAACUUGUCUAGGUAACUUUGUACCUAAACAGGUACAAAACUUGGACCACUGAGAUAAGUGAGUUGUGAUGUUUGUCCCAGCAGGAGGUUAAUAGCAUGUUGUUAAAAGAGAAAUAAAACUGACUCACAGUGAGUGAAAGCUAUUUAGAAUGAAAGGCAGUAAAGAACAUCUGCUGUUAUACUACUUGA